UACAGAGGGUGCGAGCGUUGUCCGGAAUCAUUGGGCGUAAAGCGCGCGUAGGUGGCUUCAUAAGUCCGUUGUGAAAGUCAAAGGCUCAACCUUUGAAAGCCGAUGGAUACUGUGAAGCUAGAGUACGGAAGAGGCGAGUGGAAUUCCUGGUGUAGCGGUGGAAUGCGCAGAUAUCAGGAGGAACACCGGUGGCGAAGGCGGAUCUCUGGGCCUUACCUGACGCUGAGGAGCGAAAGCAUGGGGAGCAAACGGG
rnacentral:rRNA from 1 species